UACGAAGGGGACUAGCGUUGUUCGGAAUCACUGGGCGUAAAGCGCACGUAGGCGGAUGUGUCAGUCAGGGGUGAAAUCCCGGGGCUCAACCUCGGAACUGCCUUUGAUACAGCACGUCUCGAGUCCGGAAGAGGUGGGUGGAAUUCCUAGUGUAGAGGUGAAAUUCGUAGAUAUUAGGAAGAACACCGGUGGCGAAGGCGGCCCACUGGGUCGGACCUGACGCUGAGGCGCGAAAGCGUGGGGAGCAAACGGG
rnacentral:rRNA from 1 species